AAGAAUCAAUUACAAAAUCCUAGCUGUCACCAGCAGAACAGUUUUUUGAGUUUGCUCUGCUCUCAUGUCAAUUCCUAUUUCUCUGACAUACUUCUCGAACUUGAAUGUUAGUGAUCCGAGUG